rnacentral:lncRNA from 1 species
CAUGUACUCCCCUCCUUUCCAUCCUUGCUGCUCUCUUUUAGUGUAGGCUGCCAUUACCAGUAAUUAGCCUGUUGGCAAUGUUACUGAUUCACCUGGCUGUCCCAGGUGUUCCGACACCUGCAAAUGGCCAAUAAAGGAUGAGUUCCUCUCCAGGCUUCCCCUUCGCCAGCUGUUGCUAUAUAGACAAGGCAGAUGUUCCCCGUACCCUGGCACUUGCUUAGGCCAACAUCCCUCAAAGCACAUGCAAUGGCUACGCCGUCCCUUGUGGCCAUGGUAAACGCCCCUCUGUACUCGGGAUUUUCUUUGGAGUUGUGUGUGUGUGAGUGUGCAUUUGUAAAAUCUGGCUGUCCUCAUUUACUGUGCAUGGGCCGGUGUGGAGAGGUCUCGGUGUCAUUGAUCUCCAUGAUCUCCUUCACGGGAGCAGGAGAAGGACGUGCUUUAGUGUCUGUCUGGGUCUGGACCGGGAGGGUGCCAAGGAAGUCCAAGAAGGCAGAAAGAAGAGAAAUGAGAAAAUGCCUCAAUGGCAAGAAGGAGGCACGGAGGGAAAUGGCAUCACAAGACCACAGAUUGCAAGAUGGAAGUGACCUCCGGGGCCAUCAAGUGCAACCACCUCAUUUUACAGUUGAGCAAACAAAGAAACACAGAGGUUGA